UGCUGGAUAUCUCGCAUCAGCUUUCUUUGCUGAUUCACUUCAUGGAGGUUUAUCUUCCUCACCUGGAGCCACCCCCGCAGCUGGUUAUGGCACAUGUUCAGCAUGGACGGCGGCUUGUCUUUGUCCUCCUACGCCUCUUCGGUCGCCUAAGCUUGUAAAGGGCGGCGGCGGCGUCCAUGCAGUUUCUUUGGUCGCUGAUUUCAUCUCCGGCGGACCUGCAGCCCUCUUGCAUCUAGCUUGAGUAUGAGAUUGCUGGCUACAUUUUCUUUCACAAGUGCGCAAAGCAGACACAUCGUUUCAAUUUCUGCUCGAGGUAGCCCGGCACAUCAUCCUCAUCCUUCACAGUGGUAACAUUCUUCAAAGUUCGACCUGAAGGUCCCUAUUUUUUCUUUUCCGACUCUGUAAUUUAUCCCCUUUUUCUUAUCUUUUUCCUCUGGUUGUGCGGUUGAAACAAUAUAAUGUAAUCAACGAAAUGACUUUUAGUGGUAAACAUUUCAUAAUUUUUCUUUCUAAUCUCGGAAAAACAUAUGUUUUUUUGUAAGUGCUCUAUAACUGUUGAAUAAGGUAGUACAUAGUAGCUAGUAAUAAGUUCAUGAAAAUUUUAAAAUUUACUUAUAUGUAUGAGCAGACAUACCAAUCAAAAUUAGUACUAUAUAUAUUUUUUAGAGAAAAGACUUGGCCCGAGCCUGAAGUAGGCUCGGACCUAACCCGGCUUUGAAUUAACAAAGCCGUCAACCGGCCAGGAUUACACGAGCAGCAUACAAACGACACAAAAACGAACAACAAAAAAAGCCCGAAAGAUACAAGGGGGCACUGUGAUCUUACAACACCUCGGAGAGCUAGUUACAGGAGAUACUAAGAAAGAGCACAACUAGCAUCAACCGAUGACCGCAACCCUCAGGCGCCGAAGACACGGGAGGAACGCCGCUGGGACAAUGAGUGGGCGGCAUGAACAUGGUUAUGCUUUUGAAAAGCUUGGGGACAGCACCUCCCUCCACUGCCAAAGAGGGCCACCACCCUCUCGUCUUGGCUCGAAAGACGCCGUACCGUCGGACAUGGGAGACGCUCACCGAGAGCUAGAGAAUGCCGCUUCCCAGAUACAAAGCAAACACAAGUCAUGACCUCCUUGACGAAGAGAGCACACCAAGCCGGCCACACCAUCACGCGCCAAGAACGUCUGAAGGCUGCAGGAAAGCCGCCGAGCAACAACAGAGAGGUGGACAGCGGGACAGCGAGAGGCACUGCACCUGCUGCCGGCCAAAAACCCCACCUUCAGCAACCCUAUGCCCGAAUCCACACUCCCCAGGCAACGCCUCCAUGGACGGAACGACACACAUGGCGCCGCCGCUACCCAAUCCGGCCGGAUUUUGGGUUUUCACCCGGGAGAGGAAACGGAGGUGGGGAGAAGGAGACCACGACAUCGCCUCCAAGAAGGAAAGGUCGCCCAAGGCCGACGUCGAUGCCGGGCCGAACCAGCCGGCCAGGGGUUUCCCCCGGUCCCGAUCUGCAACACCAGCCCCAAACUCCGCCGGAUCCAGCGACCAGCCGCGGGAAAACAAGCGCAGAAGGGGAGGGAGCGAAUUAGGGGCGGCAAACCUCCAGAUCUGGCGAGGAAGAGGAGGCCUCCACGCUGUAGCCACCAGGCGCCGACGCCCCACCACCCCCGCAGUCGAGGACGCCGGCCAGAGCCCUCCGCGAGCGCUGUUCAGGGCAAGAACGGCGACGCCACGCCGGCAGGGGCCGCCGCCCCUGGGAUCCAGAUCCUCCGAUGCAGGAGCGACGAGGGCCUCGCCGCCACCGUCACUGGCGGCCGCGCGGGCUUGCCCGGCGACCACCUCAGGUGGCGACGAGGAGGGAGACGAGGGGUGGGGGAGGCGGCGCUCGGGAAACCUAGCCGCCGCCCGAGUCGCCCGGUCAGGCGACGCGGGGGCCGAGAGGGAGAGGACGUGUCGGACGGUCUUCCACUCAAAUUAGUACUAUAUCGGUAUAUUAAUUUAUACUAAUCCAAAUUAGAACACGGAAUGGAACUUUGUGUUUAUCUUAAAAAUAAUACAAGGAAGUAUGUACUUUUGACCUCACCGCUAGAUUUGUUUCUUUUCACAACUCUUCAUGGUUUCUUGUCGGUAGGGCCUUUUGACAUGUUUACAGUUUUGUUCGCAAUCUUUAUAUGAAUCAUCCUCUUUGGUAAUUAUAUCUGAACCUGCAGCUCAAAUGUUCUGUACCUCCUUGUCAAAUAGAUUUUCCAGUUUUUUUGUCGGCUUUAUCAUGUAAUAAUAGUAGUAUUAAUAUAUACAGAAGAGGGAAAAUAAUUUGAAUGAAUACCUAUCGAACAGAUUUUUCUCUAUAAGAACUUUUUGUUAUUUCACGAAGCCUUUCUUUUCAAAUCCUGUUUACAUCUCUUACGUUUUGUCUCUCGUUUUAUCUUCUGCGAAACAGUUUUUGGCUCUGCCUGUGUGGUUUGUGAUGUCAUAAAUAAAUACGCCGUAAAAACUAUUAAUGCAUAUACAGGGUGACAAUGUUUUCAAUUUGUUACCUUGUCAUCAGGAGCUUAAGUUUUAACAAUUGGUUUUCUGCUAUUUCUGGAAGCAAACAUUGACACAUCUUUUUCAUAUUUUUGCUAGACUUCUGUCUCUAUGUCGUCCAUUGUUGUUUUUUCUUAGAUGAUUUAGAAGUUACCUUUCUGCACAUAUCCUUCUUCUCAUCUUUUGUCGCAGUCUUGGAAGAGUGGUUGCCCGAUAAAAGUAAAAUUAUUUUUUAAUUGUUUAAAGAAAAAUGUGCACACUUGUGACAGCUAAACCAUUAAUUAGUGGCAAUACCUCAUUAUAUGACUUCUGUGUAAUAGAAUUUGAAGAACCCUGUGUAUCUUGCCUUUCCAGUAUGCCCUAUAAAGAACGUACUGACUUUAUAAGUUCAUAAACCAUUUAAAAUACUGAAAUGUGCAUGUGCAUACCUCUUCAACUAUUUCAUUUGAAUAUUCCAUCUCAAGUUUGUUGUCAACUUCAAAAGUGAAGCUCGCUUUAAAAUAUUCCAUGCACUCUUAGAUUCCUUUAAUAUGAAAUAGCCAACUAUAGCCCCACUAUAGCUGAUUUGAAGGACUGCUGCUAUUUGGCAUAGCCCGCUAUUUGAUACAUUGGUUCAUACCUAAGCACUGUUUAUCUAUAUUCACCCUACUCUACAAGGUAUCACUAUCAGCAAAUUCGAAAUGGUAGUAUAAAAACUUGGAUUUUUCUCCAUCCACUUCCUUCACUGUUGUAUAAAAAAGAAACUGAUUUUAAGAUUGUUCUUCAAUGGUCGGUAUUUUUCAUACUUCCAGACUUUGAAGGUCUUAGCUAUGUAGAUGGAGUCCUCUUUAAUUUUUGCUUUAAAUUUAUUGACCAGUUUGCUCCCAAUAGAAGCAUGGAUCACAUUGCCCUACAUAGAGAGAAAACAUUAACAAACUUUGGUAAAGGAAAACUGAAGAGACAUUAUAUAUGUAAUACUUGCACCUUAUAUAUAUAUAUAAAUCAAUCAGUGCUAAUGAGUUCAUUAGUCAAUAAGUUAAUUGUGUCCAAAAGUCUUAAAACUUUGAUUGUCCAUGUCUCGUUUCGUGUAGUCAAUGCAUUCAAUGGUGUAGGUGCCAUAUUCUUUGAGGCCCUAAAAAUAUAAGAAAAAAUGUUGAUUAGUAAAGUAAGUAAUAUAAUGCCAUGCAAGCUUUAUAAAUACAAAAAAUAUUGUUGCAACUGCCUCCAGUGAUUUUGUGACAACAAAAAAGAUUGAUGAUUUUUUAGACUGGAAUAGAUAUAUGAAAUCAUAGUAGAUUAAUAAAUACAAUUUUAUUAACAGCUGGUCUAAAAAUUUUGUUUUAGAUGAAGCUGCUGGCAUUACGACAGGAACCCACUAUCGAAUUUGAGGUUGGUCAAAUAUGAAAACCAUCUAUAUAUGUUUCUCUAUAUUGCAGCAAGCAACCCCAUUCGUUUCUGUUGUAGCUGUAGUAUGGAUCUAGUCUUCUAGAGUAUAUUAUCUUUAACAUGAAUACACUGGAACCAACAUCCAUGGCAUCAACUUUCGGUAGAUGAAUAAAAGUAUGAACGUGCAAGUUGCAACCAUUAAGAUAUGAACGUGCAACCAUUAAGAUAGGAACCCAUACCCAUAGAAUUGCAUUACUUAAUGUAGAAUACAAUUCGUAGUUUCUUUUGUUUCUACAUAACAAACCUUGUGAGGUAACAUGUCUAAUCUUUUAAGAUUAGCACUGCCAACACUAUAAUUGAAGUAUUAUUGAUCCCUUAAGAGGUCUGAUCUAUAAUAUGAAAACCACUGAUGUACCAUACAUGUUACUCUAUGUCGCAGCAGGAAAUCCCACUUGUUUCUGUUAUAGUUGUAGUAUAAUUCUAAUUUAUAGUAUAUUACCUUAACGUGAAUACACUGGAUGCACCAUUCAUGACAUCAGCCUUCUCUAGAUGAGUAAAAAGCAUGAACGCUACACCAUUAAGAUAGGAACCCACACAUAUAGAAUUGUACAUAAUCAACCUUCUGAGGUAACAUGUGAAAUCUUUUUAGAUGAGCGUUGCUUGAGCAUAAUUGAACUAUAAUUGAUCCAUUAACAUGCCUCAUCUAUUUUUUUGCAGAUUGUACUUACUUGAUAUGGUCUGAUUGCUCGACGGAGCUGGCUUGUGCCCGUUGGAGGAAGACAAUUCCGAAGUGCCACUGGUUGUUGGAAGUGGACCUCGAAGUGUUGUUUGUUAGAGGAAGAUAAUGUAGAAAUUGUACCCUAAAACCUAGAGGACAAUGAACCUCUGAGGCUUUGCAGAUUGUACUUACUUGAUAUGGUCUGAUUGCUCGAUGGAGCUUGCUUGUGCCCGCUAGAGGAAGACAAUUCUGAAGUGCCACUGGUUUGGUAAAGUUGACCUCAAAGUGUUGUUCGCCGGAGGAAGAUGAUGUAGAAAUUGUACCCAAAACCUAGAGAACAAUGAACCUCUGACGUCGUGGAAGCAUUGCAUGGGGAGGUAGUCUAGGGAUGGCUGAGUUUACCAAGUUUGCACGAUGGAAAGAGAGAUAUUCUGUUUGCAGAGAUUGAAUCUUUGUACAUUAUUGAUGAUAGUUUGGAUUUGUUUGGGGAUAUUGUACCUGCAUGCUGCAUGCGUUAGUUUUUUGGGAAUUGUCUCAUCGCUCAUGGUAUGGUACAAUCUGUACGUGUGGGAGAUGCAAAAAAACAUGUACGUGUGGGAUGGCCCAACUUGUAUGCGUUUUUUUAACGUCGUAUGUUUUUU
rnacentral:lncRNA from 1 species